UACGGAGGGUGCGAGCGUUGCUCGGAAUCACUGGGCGUAAAGGGUGCGUAGGCGGGUCUUUAAGUCAGGGGUGAAAUCCUGGAGCUCAACUCCAGAACUGCCUUUGAUACUGAAGAUCUUGAGUCCGGGAGAGGUGAGUGGAACUGCGAGUGUAGAGGUGAAAUUCGUAGAUAUCGAGAGGAACACCGGUGGCGAAGGCGGCCAACUGGACGAAUACUGACGCUGAGACACGAAAGCGUGGGGAGCAAACAGG
rnacentral:rRNA from 1 species